UAUAUGGAGGGUUUGAUCCUGGCUCAGGACUAACGCUGGCGGCGUGUCUUAGACAUGCAAGUCGAACGGGUUGCUAUUUUGUAGCAAUACAGAAUAGCGCUAGUGGCGAACGGGUGAGUAAUGUAAAAGUAACCUACCUCAGAGUGGAGCAUAACCCCGAGAAAUCGGGGCUAAUUCUCCAUACAAUCCUUGCACAUAAGUGUUUGGAUGAAAGGUCUCGGCCGCUCCGAGAGGGGCUUUUAUCCUAUCAGCUAGUUGGUGGAGUCAAUGACCACCAAGGCUAUGACGGGUAGGGGGUGUGAGAGCAUGACCCCCCACAUGGGAACUGAGACACGGUCCCAACUCCUACGGGAGGCAGCAGUCUAGAAAUUUGGGCAAUGGGCGCAAGCCUGACCCAGCGACGCCGCGUGAGGGAUGACGUCCUUCGGGAUGUAAACCUUUGUUGAGGGGGACGAUGAUGACGGUACCCCUCGAGGAAGCCUCGGCUAACUCCGUGCCAGCAGCCGCGGUAAUACGGAGGAGGCAAGCGUUGUCCGGAAUCACUGGGCGUAAAGGGUGUGUAGGUGUCCUGGUGGGUCAGAUGUGAAAUCCAACCGCUCAACGGUUGAAUGGCAUUUGAAACUAUCAGGAUAGAGGACACUAGGGGAGAGUGGAACUCGCGGUGUAGCGGUAGAAUGCGUGGAUAUCGCGAGGAAUGCCGAUGGCGAAGGCGGCUCUCUAGGGUGUUCUUCGUAUGAAGAGUUGUUCAGUUUAUAUCUUCGGAUUAAGAUUGAACGAUCCUGACACUGAAACACGAAAGCUGGGGGAGCGAACGGGAUUAGAUACCCCGGUAGUCCCAGCCAUAAACGAUGUACACUUGGCAUGUGCUAGCAAUAGUGCGUGCCGUAGGUAACCUGUUAAGUGUACCGCCUGGGGAGUAUGCUCGCAAGGGUGAAACUCAAAGGAAUUGACGGGGACCCGCACAAGCGGUGGAGGAUGUGGUUUAAUUCGAGGCAACGCGAAGAACCUUACCUGGGCUUGACAUGCUGGUAGUACGGAGCCGAAAGGCAAAGGAUCUCACCUCUGGUGAGAAGUCAGCACAGGUGCUGCAUGGCUGUCGUCAGCUCGUGCCGUGAGGUGUUAGGUUAAGUCCUGUAACGAGCGCAACCCCUGCUCUUAGUUGCCAUUUUGUCUUCGGAUGAAGGCACUCUAAGAGGACUGCCGCAGAUAAUGUGGAGGAAGGUGGGGAUGAUGUCAAGUCAUCAUGGUCUUUAUACCCAGGGCUACACACGUCCUACAGUGCCUAUUACAGCGGGAAGCUAAGCCGAAAGGUGGAGCAGAUCCUUCAAAGAUAGGCACGGUUCGGAUUGAGGGCUGCAAUUCGCCCUCAUGAAGGCGGAAUCGCUAGUAAUCGCAGAUCAGCACGCUGCGGUGAAUACGUUCUCGGGUCUUGUACACACCGCCCGUCAAGCCAUGGAAGUUCACAAUACCUGAAGUCUCUCCUCGUGAGGGCCCAAGGUAGGGUGGAUGACUGGGGCUAAGUCGUAACAAGGUAGCCGUACGGGAACGUGCGGCUGGAUCACCUCCUUU
rnacentral:rRNA from 1 species